GAUGAAGAACGUAGCGAAAUGCGAUAAGUAAUGUGAAUUGCAGAAUCCAGUGAAUCAUCGAAUCUUUGAACGCACAUUGCGCCCGCCAGCAUUCUGGCGGGCAUGCCUGUUCGAGCGUCAUUUCAACCCUCGACCUCCCUUUGGGGAAGUCGGCGUUGGGGACCGGCAGCACACCGCCGGCCCUGAAAUGGAGUGGCGGCCUGUCCGCGGCGACCUCUGCGUAGUAAUCCAACUCGCACCGGAACCCCGACGCGGCCACGCCGUAAAACACCCAACUUCUGAACGUUGACCUCGAAUCAGGUAGGACUACCCGCUGAACUUAAGCAUAUCAAUAAGCGGAGGA
rnacentral:misc_RNA from 1 species